UACGAAGGGGGCUAGCGUUGUUCGGAAUCACUGGGCGUAAAGCGCACGCAGGCGGACUGAUAAGUCAGGGGUGAAAGCCCGGGGCUCAACCUCGGAACUGCCUUUGAUACUGCCAGUCUUGAGUCCGGGAGAGGUGAGUGGAAUUCCUAGUGUAGAGGUGAAAUUCGUAGAUAUUAGGAAGAACACCAGUGGCGAAGGCGACUCACUGGCCCGGUACUGACGCUCAGGUGCGAAAGCGUGGGGAG
rnacentral:rRNA from 1 species